AAAUAAUAUGAAAAAAUAGAUGAAAAUUUGUGGAGGGGUGGUGGAGUUCACAGCUGAUCUUCUGCAGCCCACCCAGCCUAUGGAUGCAAGUGAACGAAAGCACUGACCCCAGACAGGCACUGCAUCUCCACACAGCCUCCUCUGCGUGCUCUGCUACCUCACCUGCGAGCUCACAAAGCUGAUACUCUCCCUCCUUCUCUCCUGAGAACCUGCUCUAGCAUCCAGACUUUAUGAACGUGGGGCAGGAAGCCCCAAGGAGAGGAGGCUUGCUGCUCAGCAGCACACACACCACGGGACAGGGAAGAUGCUGUUCCCACUCCCCACAGGCCUUGAGCCCAUUGCCAGCCUCUCCACAGACACCUCCAUCUCCAGAUCCCAUGGUCUGCUUGAAGUCAGUGCUAGACCCUGUGGAGCAGAGCUAUCAACACUAGCCUCACCCAAGAGCUCAGCAGAAAAAGCAGUACCUUGCCCUGCUGGGACCACAGCGGGGGCUCCAGCUGGCCACGGGGCAGGAGCCCAUUUUCCAGGCAGGACAGGAAGGCGAGGAGGUGCCCUCCUUGGGGGAA